UUUUGUUUUGGUUUUGGUUUCUGAGACACAGCUUCACAGCUUAGCCCAGGCUGGUCUUGAAUUUUAUACUUCUGCAUCAACCUCUUGAGUGCUGGGACUACAGAGGAACGCGGCCACCACGCCUGGCUCUCACAAGGAACAGAGUUCACAGAAUGGACAAUCAGAACUGGUGUGUUGGCUGGCUUGUGUGAUACUGUCUGAGCAUGCCAGCCAUGACUGCUUCCCUCCAGAGAGUCUAAGAAAGGAAUUGCGCAGUCCACAAGGCUGGACGUCUUGGAAUCCCAACCUAGAGUUGAAGGCCUGGAGGAUGUCUGGAGAGCUGCUUGCCUCCAGUCCGUGUUGGAAGCCCAAAGAACACCGGUUCUGAUAUCAGCCAAGGAAAGCAGUAGACCUGAAGGCAAACAGGCAAAAGGCACGGCUUGUGCCUGAUCCCACCUUUCACCUGGCUGCAACCAUUGGCACACGUUGCCACAAGAGAAUACAGAACGGGGUUUCACUCGACAGUAUCGACAGGCAAACAAGACUAUGGAAAGGUUGGAGACGUCAUGUGGACUCUGUAGGACACAGGAAGGCUCCAUAUGAAAUUCUGAGAGGCUAUCGGUCUCCUGGCUUUCUCUUGAGUUCCUAGGAAUCAUCAGAGGACAGCAAGACCUUGACAGUCACACAGCGCAGAUCCACACGAAGGUAUGGAGCAAUGAAAACGGGCCAAGCUGAUGGAUGCAGAAAGACAAAUGCUGCACUAAGAUUCCUGCCUAAGCUCACCCACAAUUCAUCCCACUUAGGGAACCAAGGCUAAGCCAUCAUUUUAAUAGAGGAAUCUAAGUGAGUUCUUCACCUUUUUCUCAUAAGCUUUUGAAAGACAUCGAGUAGAUCCAGUUCUUGUCUGAAAGUCUCUGUCCAACAUCAUGUAGGACAUGUGAAAGCCCUGAUGUCUGGAGAGUGGGGCACUUCCCAGUCUCUCAGCACAUGCAGCUUACAGGAGGCAGUGCCUUCCCAGCUUUCCCUAUCCAGAGUCCAUGUGCCAAGUCUCAGUUUCAUUCUUUACAUUACAGAGACCCACCUCGUUAUUGGUUGGAUCUAAAUAACGAGAAUGCAGCUUCUAAAUGGGAAAGGGGCUGGAUUGGUUGUCUCUUUAACCAGAAUCGUGGGGGAAAAAGCAGUCCUGUAGCAGCUACAUAAUUGGCAGCAAAUUAAAAUGAGCACUCUUGGCUGGCUGUGGUGACACAGGUCUCUUGGUUUCAGCUACUUGAGUGAACAGGCCGGAGGCUUGCAAAUGCAAGGCCAGCCGGGGUAGUUUAGUGAGAACUAUCUCAAAAUGAAAAAUACAAAUGGACUCAGGGCAGGUGUGACUAAGUUCAAUUCCCACAGCCAGAAACCCAAAACAAACACCUAACAUGUGUGUGUAUAAAAUAAAUUACUCCUGUAUUUGUUUUAAUUAUAGAAUGCUGCAAGUCUUUUUGAAAAUUAGCUGUAAUAACAAUGAGCCAAUGCAAAAGUUUUGAUACACAUAUCAAUAUUUUCCUUGGAAGCCAGAAGUUAGGACACCCAACAUACAAGAUGGGCCGAAUCUGAAAGCCUACCAGGCAGGUAAAAAAUCUCCUGCCUCGACCAUGAAACCCAGAGGCAAUGUAGGCUAAUUGCCAUUGUCGUUCGUUGCUGUGCAGAAUUUGAAAGUCCCUGUUGCUAUAGACGUGACACUUUUGGGAUGGAGGACUUGGAGUCAUCACUCUAGCACUGGUCUGGCAGCUCAUUCUUGAGGAGUGGCUCUGGUAGUAACAGGAAGUGCUGUGCAAGCUGCUGAGGAGAAGCUGGUAGCCUAUCAAUCACAAUGACUGGAUUGGCAACAUAGUGCAACAGUGUCGCUUUGUCUUGGGAGUCACCAACAGCUGUCUAGUUGGACUUGAGGGUUCGUAAGCAGAUAGGAAAUGAAGCGGGAUAAUGUAGGGCUAGGCAGCUACAAGUGGCUGAAGAGACCCCAGAGGAGAAGCUACUACAGUCACUUGCCUAACGCUGAAUGAUUCCUAACUGGCUUCUAAAUACUGUGCAGUCUUAGAUACAGGUAAUGUUCACCACUUACCAAAGAAGCUUCCUUUUGUAGCAGGAAAUCUUUAGAAAAACAAAACAAAACAAAAGCCACUAGUCAAAAUGUAGAGAACGGAGCACAAGGUAUUUGGCUCUAAUUGAUACAUCUUAAACACAGCCACCACACCCAAGGUUCAGGGAACGUUGCAGCAGAAGAAGCUGAGUAGCUGUAGGAGUCGGGACCAGGAAGUGUGCGGUGAGGUUUAGUCUAGCGUUGACAGGGAAGCCUCGACCAUGAGACCUUGGCAGCAUGGCUGCCUCGAGAGCUGGGCAACUCAACACCUGUUCACACCCCUUCAGGUGGGGGACAUCUCACUGGGCACCACCUGUAGAUGAAGGGCUACAAGCAGUUAACAACUAUGGAGAGAGGGAGAAUUAGCCUUCCCCAGAGACCAGCACCCUGACUGAUUACCCAAUACCAAGUGGUCAGCCCUAGAAACACAUAC